GGAAUAUUGGUCAAUGGGCGCGAGCCUGAACCAGCCAAGUAGCGUGCAGGAUGACGGCCCUAUGGGUUGUAAACUGCUUUUAUGCGGGGAUAAAGUCGGCUACGUGUAGCCGUUUGUAGGUACCGCAUGAAUAAGGACCGGCUAAUUCCGUGCCAGCAGCCGCGGUAAUACGGAAGGUCCGGGCGUUAUCCGGAUUUAUUGGGUUUAAAGGGAGCGCAGGCCGGAGGUCAAGCGUGACGUGAAAUGUAGCCGCUCAACGGCUGAACUGCGUCGCGAACUGGCUUUCUUGAGUGAGUUCGAUGUGGGCGGAAUUCGUGGUGUAGCGGUGAAAUGCUUAGAUAUCACGAAGAACUCCGAUUGCGAAGGCAGCCCACAAGGCCUUUACUGACGCUAAAGCUCGAAGGUGCGGGUAUCGAACA
rnacentral:rRNA from 1 species